GUCUUGAACUCUCGACCUCAGAUAAUCCGCCCGCCUCUGGCCCUUCUUAGUAGUGGUGUUUUCUAAACAGGUUAGAUCAGAAUUUGACACCUACUGAAAUCUCCAGGGUGGCCCCUCCCAAGGUCAAAUUGCACAUCUUGCCGAUGAGAAGAGCCUUCACUUCUUGAGCAUCUACUCAGCAGCAAGUGAUUUCUCUAAUCUUCACAACACCCUCUCAAGGCAAGGGAUCAUGCACCACACUUGGCAAUCUAGGAAAGUGAAGUUCAAGAACAAGCCCCAGGACACAUGGCUAGUGGCAGCGAGGCACAGAGCUGGAACUCCAACCCAGGCCUGUCUAACCCUAAAUCUCCUCCUAUCCACCCUCCUUGCUGCCACAGAGGGUGACUCAGAGGUACUCAGUCUGGGGAAUUCAAGCCAGUAUCCCAGGAAGUGGAAUUUUCUCCAGUGUCCUAGGAAGGAGGGAUUACCAUGGCAUGGGGUGGACCAGGUAGACACAAGAGGCAGUGAAGUUGCAUAAAGUGGUGACUAAAGAGAAUGGAAUCUGCUGUGGUUUGGAUAUGGUUGUGUCCACCUAAACUCAUGCUGAAAUUUGACCCUCAGUGUGGGGGUGUUGGGAGGUGGGGCGUAGUGGGAGGUGUCUGGGUCAUGGGGGCAGAUCUGUCAGGAAUGGCUUGGUGCCAUUCUCGCAGUGGAGAGUGAGUUUUCACCCUGGCAAGGCUGGAUUCUUGUAGGAAUGGAUUUGUUCCCAAGACAGUGGGUUGUUAUAAAGCCAGGAUGCCCCUUGGGUUUUCCCUUCUUUGCAAGUGUUCACUCUCCCUUUGACCUUCUGUAUGUUGCAGCUCUCACCAGAGGCUGAGCAGAUGCUGAUGCCAUGCUUCUUGAUUUUCCCAGCCAACAGAAUUGUGAAUUGAAUAAACCUCUCUUCUUUACAAAUUACCCAGUCUCAGGUAUCCUGUUAUGGCAACACAAAAUGGACUAAGACAGGAUGUCGCUAUCAAUCACGCUUCGACUGAGUACAGCCAAACCAGGAUACUCAGGGAAUUGGAACCUGUUAUCAGACUUCCAUUUAGUACAGACACAGCGCCAGGGGACUGAGCAUUCUUCGGCAACACCCUUUGGACCCCUUCUCUACACCAAUGCUGUGUGACCUGAAGGGCUGGGGACAUGAAGGAGCAGCUCAGCUAAGGUGACCCAGAUGGUUGGGCUCGGAGCUGGAAGAACACUGUGGUCUCCUACCUCCCAAUUCCUGCAUCUGUCCUGCUUGUAAGAGGCUUGCCAAGAACAGGAGCUCUUGUUUGUAGGUCUCUAGGGAUGGCCACCGCAGGGAGUGUGAUUUGAAGAUGGGUUCGGGGUGACAUUACAGGCCCCCUUUAGGCUCUGCUGGUUGCAGGCCAGCUCUCUGGGGUGCCUUUCUGAUGGCUGCUAUUUUAAAGGCAGAUAGGAUGACAUUAACAACUUUUAUCAUUCAACUAGCAAGGGCUCAGGACGGGCAGCCCCCUUCUGGGAAUGUGCCUAACUCCUGCCCCAGAAUGGAGGAGUCUCUGUGGCUCUAGGGGAGCUGGCCUUCUGUGGAGUCUGAGCAAUGUACUGCACAGGGAGAAGACGCUGCCAGCUGAUACCAGUGUCUCUAUGCAGAGACAUUUCCAGGACACCACGUUAAGCAGCAGAGACACAAGAAGUCAAGGCCCAUGUGCUCUGGUGUGGACGUGUGCCUCCUGUGCCUCAGUGGCAUCAUCUGUACCAUGGGAGGUGUGUAAUGAGGGGUGCAAUCACGACUGCAAGUGCACGUACAUAGUAGAUGCCCAGGAAGUGCCAGUCCCCAUCUCCUUCCCAGUUUCUUCAGAGCCUUCUGGAAGGCACUGGCAUAGCCCAGUCCUGAGGCAUUGCUUUUUCUUUCAUGGAUGAUCAGGAGCUUCUGUGAUUUCUUCCCCCUCACUCUUCAUUUUGCCAAGAUGUCGCCCAUAGUAACCUCAGCAGUGGAGCGGGGAUUCUGCACUGUUCCACUGCCCGGGGCUGCACAUCCACGUGAGCGGGGCCGACCCGUCCCAGAACGCUUUGCCCUUGGAAGGCAGCAUCACCUGCAGGGGCAAUGCUGUGGACAGCUCUGGCAUGUCCUCCAGGGCCCUGGCAUGGUCAGUGAGAAAAGGCCCCCAGGCGUGGGCUUCUCCCAUCAGUCAGGUUCAGAAGGCUUCCUGGGGUAAGUAGAGACGCUCCCUACCCAACUGAGUUGUUAAAAUGACAGGAGGGAGAGGGGAAGGUCUGGGCCUGUGGCACUGUGAUUUUUUUUUUCUUUCUUUCUUUUUUUUUUUUUUUGGAGACUCGUUGGGGUAGAAAUGAGGACAGGAAGAAGUACAAUCCGUCUGGGAUUGGUUUAUUUUUAUUGCUUUUUAAAACCAUGUGACUAAUUGGUGUUCAUUGAAAAAGAGAAAACAAAAAUAAGCCAAGAGAAGACAGCAAAAAUAGUCUGUUAACAUCUUGGCAAAUAUCCUUUUUCUCUGCAUAGAAACAGAGAAUACUUUUGUUUCACUUAUAAAAUGUUUCUUGCUGUACACAGCUUUAUAACCUGCUUUUUUCUUAAUGGAACAAUAUACUAGGACAUGUUUUCAGGCCAACAGAUAAAUAUACUUCACUUGCAUUGAUGCUAUUGGCACCAUGGUGUUCUGGUGGUUGGUAAUUUACCCUGUCAUUCUGUCUCCCUUUACUCAGUGGCAAAAAUGACCUGGGCACCUGCCCCUGGGCCUGGGCUGGACAUCGGUCCUUGGCAGAUGGGGAAGGUUGGUGACCAGCAAGGCACAGAAUAAGGACACAUGGUCCCAGCAGACCCUUGGGAUGACCUUGACCACUUGGACCUUGGAGAGAGAGGGGACAGGAGAACAGAGGGCAAUGCCACAUGGAGGGGAGGGUGCAGAUGGCUGGUGGCUGGAACUCCGGGAGGCUGAGCAGUGGGGGUGGCAGGAGAGAACUGGCUCCUUCUAGAUAGGGGAAUAUCGUGGUUAGGGUUCUGGGGUCAGAUUGGAUCUGGGCUCUGUCACCUACUAGCUGAGGAAUAAAUAAUUGAGCCUUGGGGCCGGGCGCGGUGGCUCAUGCCUGUAAUCCCAGCACUUUGGGAGGUCAAGGCGGACGGAUCACCUGAGGUCGGGAGUUCAAGACCAGCCUGACCAACAUGGAGAAACCCCAUCUCUACUAAAAAUACAAAAUUAUUAGCCGGGGUGGUGGCGCAUACCUGUAAUCCCAGCUACUUGGGAGGCUGAGGCAGGAGAAUCACUUGAACCUGGGAGGCAGAGGUUGUAGUGAGCCGAGAUCACGCCAUUGCUCUCCAGCCUGGGCAACAAGAGCGAAACUCCAUCUCAAAAAUAAAAUAAAAUAAAAUAAAUAAAUAAUUGAGCCUUGGAUCAUCACCUAUAAAACUAAUAAUAGAUCAGAUUGAUGUGCCAGGAUUAAAUGAAAGAAUCUACAAGCUAUAAAAAGUGCUGCGUGGCAGCUGCCUUUAAACUUA